UACGAGGGGGGCGAGCGUUGUUCGGAAUUAUUGGGCGUAAAGGGUGCGUAGGCGGUUUGGUAAGUCUUAUGUGAAAUCUAUGGGCUCAACUCAUAGUCUGCAUGAGAAACUGCCGGGCUUGAGUAUGGGAGAGGUGAGUGGAAUUCCCGGUGUAGCGGUGAAAUGCGCAGAUAUCGGGAAGAACACCCGUGGCGAAGGCGGCUCUCUGGGACGGUACUGACGCUGAGACGCGAAAGCGUGGGGAGCGAACAGG
rnacentral:rRNA from 1 species